rnacentral:rRNA from 1 species
GAUGAACGCUGGCGGCGUGCCUAAUACAUGCAAGUCGAGCGAACAGACGAGGAGCUUGCUCCUCUGACGUUAGCGGCGGACGGGUGAGUAACACGUGGAUAACCUACUUAUAUGACUGGGAUAACUUCGGGAAACCGGAGCUAAUACCGGAUAAUAUAUUGAACCGCAUGGUUCAAUAGAGAAAGUCGGUUUUGCUUUCACUUAUAGAUGGAUCCGCGCCGCAUUAGCUAGUUGGUAAGGUAACGGCUUACCAAGGCGACGAUGCGUAGCCGACCUGAGAGGGUGAUCGGCCACACUGGAACUGAGACACGGUCCAGACUCCUACGGGAGGCAGCAGUAGGGAAUCUUCCGCAGUGGGCGAAAGCCUGACGGAGCAACGCCGCGUGAGUGAUGAAGGUCUUCGGAUCGUAAAACUCUGUUAUUAGGGAAGAACGAAUGUGUAAGUAACUAUGCACGUCUUGACGGUACCUAAUCAGAAAGCCACGGCUAACUACGUG